AUCAGCGUCUAAUUGUAAUCUUAAUUGCCCAGCACGAACACUUUUAUAGUCCUUAUCAAACCAUUAGGGUCCAAACGUUGUAAAAUGCGGUAAAAGCUGAAUCCAUUUACCUGUCUAUUCAUUUGACUGACCGAGCGGGAAGAUCGGAGGCGGGGCUUAAGGGAAACUCAACUGCGCAUGCUCUUUGGGCACACACGGCAACUUUCUGAGUCUACAGGUAUCUCCAAGUCUGCAGGUUAUUUUCAUAAUGUGAGAAGCCAGAGAAUCAUUGUUGCCGUGUGGAGAAGCCGUCCAAGGAUUUUGAUUCAGACACACUGCCAUCUUUUCUUGGAUGCCAGCAGGAGCUGGUGGUGGAUUUCAGAUGGCGCGAACACUCCCUCCCCACACCAGUGAACGUCCAGGGAGUGGACAUAGAGAUUGUGAAAUCCCACAGAUACCUGGGUUUUCAUCUGAACAACAAACUGGACUGGUCCGAUAACUCUGCUGCUCUCUACCAGAAGGGACAGAGCAGACUCUUUCGAAUUUCAUUGUAGAGAAUAUUUUGAAAUGAUAAGCUUUGGCAAUACUGAAUGUCAUUAUGGUCAUGCAAAUAAAGAUAGAUA